UCAUAGGUUCAAACCUAAGCCAGUAAUAUAGAAAUAAAUUUUUAUACCAAUCGAAGUGACCAUCUAGCAAUGGUACCCGAUGACCGGAUAGGUCGAAUGUGUAGAACAACAUCCCUAGAACUCAUGUGGAUAUAGUUUUCAUAUAAUUCAUUUUCUUAACCAAAAUGGUCAUAGGACACCUCAAAGUUCAACUAUCAACUCUGAUCAAGUUGUCCACAUUAUAUUUCAAAAUAUCAAAUCUAUCUGAUGGAUUACCCUGGCCA
rnacentral:lncRNA from 1 species